CCCCUCCCCUGGUGGCCAUCGCUGGAGACCAGUACCAGCUUCCCCAUCCCGGAGAAAGUCUAGAAGUCAAGCAGGGGUGGUGGGGCACGAGGCUGAAGAGGUUAUGGCAGGCAAGGUCACAGAGCACUUCAAAUGCCAGUGCCUGGAGGUUGGAUUCUGUCCUGAGGGUAAGGAGAUUCCCAUUUUCCAGACGAGGAAACUGAGACCCAAAGAGUAACUUGCCCAAGGUCACCUCCAACAUGCAGACCCCUGCCAUGAUGUCUCUGCUGCUCGUGUCCAUGGGCCUCAUGGAAGCACUUCAGGCCCAGAGCCACCCCAUCACACGACGAGACCUCUUCUCUCGAGAAAUGCCCCUGGACAUGGCCCUGGCCUCCUUUGACGACCAGUAUGCUGGCUGUGCCGCAGCCAUGGCGGCGGCUCUCCCGGAUCUCAACCGCACGGAGUUCCAGGCCAACAAAGUGUACGCCGAUGUCUGGGCUCAGGCAAGCAGCCAGUGGCAGGAGCGCCAGGCCUGGGGGUCCAAGUGGGGCCUCAGCCCUACCCGUCUGUCCCCGCCCGCAGGCUUCCGAGAAGAGCAUGGGGUGGCCCUCCUGGCCUACACAGCUAACAGCCCCCUGCACAAAGAAUUCAACGCGGCCGUGCGCGAGGCUGGCCGCUCCCGGCUCCACUACCUCCACCACUUCUCCUUCAAGACACUCCACUUCCUGCUGACUGAGGCCCUGCAGCUGCUGGGCAGGGGCCAGCGUCCACCCCAGUGCCGCCAGGUGUUCCGAGGGGUGCAGGGCCUACGCUUCCGGCCAGCAGGGCCCGGGGCCACCGUCAGGCUGGGGGGCUUUGCCUCUGCAUCCUUGCAGAACGUUGCAGCCCAGCAGUUUGGGGAAGACACCUUCUUCGGCAUCUGGACCUGCCUCGGGGCCCCUAUCAAGGGCUACUCCUUUUUCCCUGGGGAGGAGGAGGUGCUGAUCCCUCCCUUCGAGACCUUCCAGGUGAUCAAUGCCAGCAGACCGGCCCAGGGCCCCACCCGCAUCUACCUCCGGGCCCUGGGCCAGCGCAGCAUGUACAACUGUGAGUACAUCAAAGGUGAGCAGGGCACGUGCCAGCCAGCAGCUGGGCGGAAGGUGGCCUUGCCCGUCCCGUUUUCAGAAGAUACAUACAGAGAUAUUAGAAACAGUGAGAAGGACCGAGUCCUGUCCCCCAGCCCCUCCACCCCUUCCGUCCAAGGAGAGAUAUAACCUUCUUAAGUAGCACGCUUGCUUCUCGACCCUGGAGGUGUCUAAGCCAGAGCUGGCCACUUGCCUGCGGGGAGACUGAAGAGGGUUUCCUGACCAACGCAGAUGUCUUUGGCCAUCUGAGGGCCAAAGAGACUUGGUGUCAGGCUUUCCUCCCAGCUGGAAGCUGCUGCCAGAAAUGAGUAAGCGGCUCACCCCAGUUUUCUGAGAGGAGUGUGUUUAUUUGACUGAACAGAACCCCUGUGCCGUCAUGUGUGCUGGCGGGGGUGGGGUGGGGUGGUGAGCCAGCAGUCAGGUGCAUUACCCCUAAAUUCCAGCUUGGGCUCUGGCAGGUCUCGGAUGCUUUCCUGUCCACCCUCCCUGGACCAUCCAGAGGAGUAAUCAUGAAGAUGGGCCCAGGUCCUUAACCUCUGAAAGGGCUGCGGGCUGCUGGUCCUCGUUGAGGGAUGCCCAGGGGCCUGUGAGGCCCACUUUUCAUAUCAAUAGUUAGAGGCAGGCUGUUGGCUGGACCCAUGGACCACAUCUCAAGGGAUAAGGUCCAGCGUGGCUUCAGUUACCACCUUGGACAGCAUCACGAGUGUGCACGAGUUGAUGGAAGGUGAAGGAGACACACAAACUAGCCCCUCCUUGGCUGGGACAAGACAUGGGAGAGGGAGAGGUGGGUGUGGCAUGGAGGCAAAGUUACAGGCCGGGGGGGUGGGGGGCAGGAGGAGUGCCCAGAUGACCCUGGCUUCAAGGGCUGGCGCCUUUCUGGCCCUGCUAGUCAUGGGUCAAGUCAAACCCAGGCAAGGGAGGUCCCACUGUAAGGAAGCAGAAUCAGGAGAAAACACACCAGCUUCUCCUAAAGCAAGUCAGGACCAUGGGGCUCUGGAGUCCCUUACCAUCCCGAGAGCUGCCGAGCCUUUGAUUCUUUGCUGUUUCUUCCCUACAGACAAGCAGUGCAAGUCAGGGCCCUGCCGUCUGGAUAACUCAGCCAUGGGUCAGGGCCCCCUGUCUGCAGUCUGGUCCCUUCUACUGCUGCUCUGGUUCCUUGUUGGAGAAGCCUUUCCAGAGAGUCCAGGACUCCUCUAAUCCAUCAGCC